AGCAGCCGCGGUAAUUCCAGCUCCAAUAGCGUAUAUUAAAGUUGUUGCAGUUAAAAAGCCGUAGUUGAAAAUUUCGGAUCAGUACGCUGGUCGUGCCUUUCGGUAUGAACUGGGUGUCCUGGAUUCCUCCCUUCUGAAGAAACCGUUCAUGCCAUUCAGUUGGUGGUGGCGGGGAAUAGACUGUUACAUUUGAAAAAUUAGAGUGUUAAAGCAGCUCGCGCUUGAAUACAUUA
rnacentral:rRNA from 1 species